rnacentral:rRNA from 1 species
AUUGAACGCUGGCGGCAUGCCUUACACAUGCAAGUCGAACGGCAGCACGGGUGCUUGCACCUGGUGGCGAGUGGCGAACGGGUGGGUAAUACAUCGGAACAUGUCCUGUAGUGGGGGAUAGCCCGGCGAAAGCCGGAUUAAUACCGCAUACGAUCUACGGAUGACAGCGGGGGACCUUCGGGCCUCGCGCUAUAGGGUUGGCCGAUGGCUGAUUAGCUAGUUGGUGGGGUAAAGGCCUACCAAGGCGACGAUCAGUAGCUGGUCUGAGAGGACGACCAGCCACACUGGGACUGAGACACGGCCCAGACUCCUACGGGAGGCAGCAGUGGGGAAUUUUGGACAAUGGGCGAAAGCCUGAUCCAGCAAUGCCGCGUGUGUGAAGAAGGCCUUCGGGUUGUAAAGCACUUUUGUCCGGAAAGAAAUCCUUGGCCCUAAUACGGUCGGGGGAUGACGGUACCGGAAGAAUAAGCACCGGCUAACUACGUG